rnacentral:piRNA from 1 species
AGAUCAACCUGUUUAGGUUUCAAUUCAGCCU